rnacentral:lncRNA from 1 species
CUCUUGCUCUAAAUGAAAGAUUUCCCCACCUGGAAAACAGACAGAAAAUCUUCGCAGCGUGAAGCUGCUUCCAUGUGUGUUGCUGUACUCCUGCAGUGCAGAGUGUGUUUGACUAUUAUACCUCCCCGUAACCUCACACUUCCCUGUUUGCCCUCAGGUUUAACAGCUCGAUGAGAAAGCAAUGAGCACCAAAACAUGCCUGGAGGAAAUACCGCAGUGUGCGCAGGAAAACCAGGCCGUAAUGCUGAAUGCAGGACCAUGGAGUUGUUGGAGAAGUGGCCAGAGAAGCACACAACCGUGAGUGAAAAUGAGUCCCCCACUGAAGCCAUCAAUCAACGUAAUGGAUACGAGGCAGGACACCUCUAGAGAUGCGGCAGUGAAACUCUGCCCCUCUUAUUCCAUCACCGCUGCUCUGAACGGCAGCCUAGGGAGACCAGGAGCAGGACAAUACCAGCCUUUCACUUGAGCAAGGUGAAUACUAACAGACCUUUUGUUAAAGCACAGGCUUUUGAUAAAACGAAGAGUUGACUGCUCUUAGCUGCUCGGUUUUUCAACAGAGAAAAGACAUGGGGGAACAGGGUAUCGUCCUUCAGCUACCCAGACAUGGCUGUCAAGGACUCUGGCAUGGCUAAUUACAAAAGCUAUCCCAUCAACGUCCCAAAAUAGGCUCACUGGAGCCCUGACACUUCAUUUUACAAAGUCAUGGAAAUGCUGAGAUAUUGAUAUAAUUUGUCUUCCUCAAGCCAAACGCGGACAGGCCGAUGUUAGUUCCGGCAGGAUUCUCUAAAUCAGUCACUUUUAGCACAUUUUUAUUAUUAAUUUACUGUUUUCAGGUUGAAAAUGAUUGAGCAUGUAAUAAAUAUGUUAUAUAAUGAUUUUUCACAAAACUCUUUUGCAUGCGUGAGCAGAGAUCUGACAAGACGUUUGACAGCAUAGUAGGGCCUUUUGCACCGCUUUAGUUCCAGAACUAAAUGUACAGUACUAAAGUACUGGGAGGAUUUUGCACGAACUACUUCACCAGUGCCAUUUAA